rnacentral:rRNA from 1 species
CCGGCAUCGGGAAGAGGGAAAAGGAGCAAUCCGCUUUGAGAUGGCCUCGCGUCCGAUUAGCUAGUUGGUGAGGUAACGGCCCACCAAGGCGACGAUCGGUAGCCGGACUGAGAGGUUGAACGGCCACAUUGGGACUGAGACACGGCCCAGACUCCUACGGGAGGCAGCAGUGGGGAAUAUUGCACAAUGGGGGAAACCCUGAUGCAGCGACGCCGCGUGGAGGAAGAAGGUCUUCGGAUUGUAAACUCCUGUUGUUGAGGAAGAUAAUGACGGUACUCAACAAGGAAGUGACGGCUAACUACGUGCCAGCAGCCGCGGUAAAACGUAGGUCACGAGCGUUGUCCGGAAUUACUGGGUGUAAAGGGAGCGCAGGCGGGCGAUCAAGUUGGAAGUGAAAUCCAUGGGCUCAACCCAUGAACUGCUUUCAAAACUGGUCGUCUUGAGUAGUGCAGAGGUAGGCGGAAUUCCCGGUGUAGCGGUGGAAUGCGUAGAUAUCGGGAGGAACACCAGUGGCGAAGGCGGCCUACUGGGCACCAACUGACGCUGAGGCUCGAAAGUGUGGGUAGCAAACAGGAUUAGAUACCCUGGUAGUCCACACCGUA